rnacentral:rRNA from 1 species
UGGGGAAUUUUGGACAAUGGGCGCAAGCCUGAUCCAGCCAUGCCGCGUGCAGGAUGAAGGCCUUCGGGUUGUAAACUGCUUUUGUACGGAACGAAAAGACUCCUUCUAAUAAAGGGGGUCCAUGACGGUACCGUAAGAAUAAGCACCGGCUAACUACGUGCCAGCAGCCGCGGUAAUACGUAGGGUGCAAGCGUUAAUCGGAAUUACUGGGCGUAAAGCGUGCGCAGGCGGUUAUGCAAGACAGAGGUGAAAUCCCCGGGCUUAACCUGGGAACUGCCUUUGUGACUGCAUAGCUAGAGUACGGUAGAGGGGGAUGGAAUUCCGCGUGUAGCAGUGAAAUGCGUAGAUAUGCGGAGGAACACCGAUGGUGAAGGCAGCCUCCUGGGCCAGUACUGACGCUCAUGCACGAAAGCGUGGGGAGCAAACA